ACGGUCAAGGAACGAUUUGCGUCUGCAGACGAUGUAAGUCGCGCAUGUGUAGAAGCAUUUAUCUCUGUCAACCAUCUUUUACGACUUGCUACAGCAGCGUCGCUAGGACAAAUCACUGUUGUUUGAGUCAAAUUAUGUAAAUGUACAGAGACUUGACUUUACCUUCAAGGAGUAACUUUCUAGUGAUCAGAAUUGAUUUGCAGUCACUUGAUAUGCCUACUUUUGGUUUCUUUCACAGCUGAGAGUCUAUCCAGCUGACAAACACUUGGAUCUAAAUCUGUGGGAAACUGAGCAGUGGAGGGUCAUUGCGGCUCUGCGAGGUUGCCGUAGCGACUCACAAAAGCUGGCCAACAGACAUAAAUGCAUCUACACAUGCACAACUCACAUCUUCCAGAGACUCAAAUCAUCCCUUGACAGUCUGCUACCUUAAACCAAGGAUGCACUGGUUGGAGACUUGGCAGAACAUAUCCCAUGAUACAUUUUGUGCUACUCUCCAGUUCUACAGCGGUUUCUGUUAUGGCUUACCUCAGAAAUGUUUUAUUGAGUCGAUGACCAUCACCAGAUGAUGUGAUACAAUGUUGGAACACACGCCGGAGGCAGAAUAGUGAGAAAGUACAUCUUGAUAUGGGAUUUUGAAGAAUAUACAAAAUGUCUAAAAAAUAGAAAUUACUUGUAAACAGUUGUACAAAUGUACUGAAAUUAAAUUGAGUGACAUAUUGUGGUGGAUUCUGGAAAUACAUUAGGGAGCCGAUGGCAGAAAUACAAGUUCAUAAGUACGGAACUGUUCCAAUAACAGAUAGACUUGUGUUCUUAGGAAGUCCGUUCUCUGGGACCGUUCUUACCAAGACUGUACUCGCGGAGUUCACAAGACGGUACUCGCAAACUUGAUAAUGAGAAACAUCCUAAAUUGACAGUAGCACGAAAUGCAUCUUGGGAUAUUUGCUUACCAAGUCCACAUGAAUCACCAUCCACAGCAUCCUUAAUUUAAAAGACAAGAACAACAUCUGGAAAUUCCGUCUGAUGUUGGUUUAUGCAAACUUUAAAUGGAACAGUACUUGGGCCCUGACUGAUGACGUUUCAAAAAUCACACAAAUAGAACAGACAAGAACGUGAAUUGAGAAACGCCUUAAGUCUCUUAAAGCCUUUGUCUUUGUGGAUCAAACAUGUUCUGGUUUACAUAAAAAGCUGAAUGAGAUUUUUUUUUUUCUUUGAGUUCAGACUCUAUUACCAAUCCAGGAAGUCAGAAAUGAGACCCUUUUUUUUUUUUUGCUUGAUUUGAUUAACAUAAUCGGAUCUAAUCUGGUUGUUUUGUGCUAAAAUCGUAGCAGUAGACGUGUUGUUUCAGACUGCAGUGUUUGUGAAAUCACAACGCGGAUCCAGUUAGAUUGUGAUGCCGAUGAACCCAGAGAUGUAUUACCUGGCUUACUGUGUUUUAGCCUUUGUCUUUGGCUUCUGAGUCACUGUUUUCCAGCUCUAAAAGGCAGGUUUUUGUUGUAUUUUUAAUGAAAUGUCCAGUGUAGACUGCCUCACCCAGCACCAUACUGCAGACAGACAUACUUAGACUCUAUGUAGAUUAAGCAUUUUGCAGCUAAAGAUCAGAAAAAGGCUUCAUGAAGAACCAAAAUAAAGAAAAAUCAUCAGGUGGGGAUACACAUGACUGAAUGAAACAUAAUAUAGCUGCAUAACUGCCUGAUGUGAGCAACCAUUUUCAAACAGGAGGUGAUAAAAUGUUGACGUUGUGUUUUUUAGCCUGUUUUGGUGUCCCCAAGAGGCCAGAAACUAUUGAAUCCCAUCCCGUUUCACACAGCUUUUUAGUUUUGUCAAGAGGGGAGAUCAUUUUCUUUUCUUUUGGAUUACAAACAGCUGCAACUCGGGACACUUAGUACGAUUUUCUUAUUCAGAUGAAGCUCUGAAGGGUUGAGCUACGCCUUAAAACUGUCUUUUGUUUGACUUCUUCUGUGGUGUGGUGUUCAGGAAAAAAAAUACAGUACAGCAGGAGAGGAAGUGCACACAAGGAACAACAAAAAAGAGGGUUUUAUUGAAAUGUUUCCGUUUCAUACUUAACAGGACUGUACCGGCAGUGAAAAUAUGUGUAAAAGUGCAGAGGAAAGUCUGAUAUGGUCUGAAGUAUUUGCACUCUUACUCAUCCACAGCUCUGUUUUGUAUCAAACAGAAAUAUUAAAAUCCAGGCUGUUUUUGUUCUCUGUGUGAGACGUCCCUCUCUGUAUCAUUCAGAGGAAGGAAAUACUCUUUGAGGUUACUGGGAUGCCUUCAAACUGUGAUAAUUGUAGUUAAAUGACUUCCUGGGCUUUUCAACUAUUGCUGAGGAUUAAUAGGAUGCUGGUUUCUGCCUGUGACACGUAACCAUAAUGUAAAGAGGCUGAAACACAGCUCGUGGCUUUAACCAAAACCGAGUCAGUUGUUUCUGUCGAGAAUCAGGAUCAAAGAGCAGCGGUGGAUGCGAAUAGAAAAGAGGAGAGUUAAAAAUAUAUGGAUUGUCUAAAAAAAGAAACCGUGUAUGUGUGUGGGGGGGUGGGGUACUGAGUGAUCACAUCCCUGCUGGAUCUUUAAUCUGACAAAGAUCGGAGGAAAAGUAAUCCGAGAGAUAAGCAAACAUUCCACAAUGCCAUGUCAUAUACUGUACAGCGACCCCCUGACUGCCCCCUCCCGUCUCUCUUAACCCUUUCCCACCCCCUCUUCACCCCUCUCCAUCUGUCUUUCAGUAAUCACAAUACUACAGUAAUACUUUGGACCUGUUAACACUUUAACACACCUGUAUGUACAACUACUUUGUCAGUUAAGUAACCUUUAAGAAAAUAGGACAAAAAGAAAAAAGGAAAAAAAAAAAAAAUAAUAAAAUACAAGAAGUGCCGUA